rnacentral:rRNA from 1 species
GUGGGGAAUUUUGGACAAUGGGCGCAAGCCUGAUCCAGCAAUGCCGCGUGCAGGAAGAAGGCCUUCGGGUUGUAAACUGCUUUUGUACGGAACGAAACGGUCCUGGUUAAUACCUGGGGCUAAUGACGGUACCGUAAGAAUAAGCACCGGCUAACUACGUGCCAGCAGCCGCGGUAAUACGUAGGGUGCGAGCGUUAAUCGGAAUUACUGGGCGUAAAGCGUGCGCAGGCGGUGCUGUAAGACAGGCGUGAAAUCCCCGGGCUCAACCUGGGAAUUGCGCUUGUGACUGCAAGGCUGGAGUGCGGCAGAGGGGGAUGGAAUUCCGCGUGUAGCAGUGAAAUGCGUAGAUAUGCGGAGGAACACCGAUGGCGAAGGCAAUCCCCUGGGCCUGCACUGACGCUCAUGCACGAAAGCGUGGGGAGCAAACAGGAUUAGAAACCCCUGUAGUCC